UCGCUGAGCAGGCUUGAAUGGGCCUGUGUGCUGUGCUCCUUAUCCUGCCGCUGGAUGCUGUGGACUGUGCUCAGGCAAGCUCCGAAGUUGCGACAUGGAUGAACUGACCUAUGAUGAUGUGCAUGUGAACUUCACUCAAGAAGAAUGGGCUUUACUGAAUCCUUCACAGAAGAGCCUCUACAGAGAUGUGAUGUUGGAGACCUAUAGGAACCUCAAUGCUGUAGGCAUGAAAGAAGUCGUAAUGGAGAGAAAACCCCUGAAAAUACUCAGUGUGGUAAAGUCUUUGCAUGUCACAGUUAUCCUCCAAGGCAUGAAAGAAUUCAUAAUGGAGAGAACCUCUAUGAAGGCAUUCAGUAUGGUGAAAACUUUGUACAUCACAGCAGUCUCCAAAUGCAUAAAAUAAUACACACUGGAGAGAAACAAUACAAAUACAAUCAAUGUGAUAAAGCCUAUUCACAAAAAAGUAUUCUCCAAAUACAUAAAAGAACACAUGCUGGAAAGAAACUCUAUGAAUGUAAUCACAGUGGUAAAGCCUUUUCACAACACAGUCAUCUCAAAAUGCAUUUAAUUACACAUACUGGAGAGAAAUCUUACAAAUGUAAUCAAUGUGGUAAAGCCUUUGCAUAUCAUACUAGUCUGCGAGUACAUAAAAUAACACAUACUGGAGAGAAGCCUUACAAAUGUGAUCAAUGUGGUAAAGACUUUGGAAGACACAGUCGUCUUAAAAUGCAUAAAAUAGUACAUACUGGAGAGAAACCUUACAAAUGUAAUCAAUGUGGUAAAGCCUUUGUAUAUCAUAAUACUCUCCAAGUACAUAAAAGAAUACAUACUGGAGAGAAACUCCAUGAAUGUAAGCAGUGUGGUAAAUUCUUUGUCUGUCAAGGUCACCUUCAAAGCCAUCAAAGAACUCAUACUGGAGAGAAACCUUUCAAAUGUAAUCAAUGUGAUAAAGCCUUUGCUCAAAAACAUUAUCUUAAAAGGCAUUUAAUAACACAUACUGGAGAGAAACCUUACAAAUGUGAUCAAUGUGGCAAAGCCUUUGCACAUCAAAGUUAUUUUAAAGUACAUAAAAGAAUUCAUACUGGAGAGAAGCCCUAUAAAUGUAAUCAAUGUGGUAAAGCCUUUGCUCAAGAACGUAAUUUCAAAAGGC
rnacentral:lncRNA from 1 species